rnacentral:rRNA from 1 species
UCAGGCCUAACACAUGCAAGUCGAGCGAGGUAGCGAUACCUAGCGGCGGACGGGUGAGUAACGCGUGGGAACGUACCCUUUGGUUCGGAAUAGCCCUGGGAAACUGGGAGUAAUACCGGAUACGGUCGAGAGACGAAAGAUUUAUCGCCGAAGGAUCGGCCCGCGUUGGAUUAGGUAGUUGGUGGGGUAAUGGCCUACCAAGCCGACGAUCCAUAGCUGGUUUGAGAGGAUGAUCAGCCACACUGGGACUGAGACACGGCCCAGACUCCUACGGGAGGCAGCAGUGGGGAAUCUUAAAGGAUGGGCGCAAGCCUGAUCUAGCCAUGCCGCGUGAUUAAGAGAGGCCUUAGGGUUUAAAGCUCUUUCAGGGGGGAAGAUAAUGA